AGUGAACGCUGGCGGUAGGCCUAACACAUGCAAGUCGAACGGCAGCACAGUAAGAGCUUGCUCUUACGGGUGGCGAGUGGCGGACGGGUGAGGAAUACAUCGGAAUCUACUUUUUCGUGGGGGACAACGUAGGGAAACUUACGCUAAUACCGCAUACGACCUACGGGUGAAAGCAGGGGAUCUUCAGACCUUGCGCGAUUCAAUGAGCCGAUGUCGGAUUAGCUAGUUGGCGGGGUAAGGGCCCACCAAGGCGACGAUCCGUAGCUGGUCUGAGAGGAUGAUCAGCCACACUGGAACUGAGACACGGUCCAGACUCCUACGGGAGGCAGCAGUGGGGAAUAUUGGACAAUGGGCGCAAGCCUGAUCCAGCUAUACCGCGUGGGUGAAGAAGGCCUUCGGGUUGUAAAGCCCUUUUGUUGGGAAAGAAAAGCAGCAGGUUAAUACCCCGCUGUUCUGACGGUACCCAAAGAAUAAGCACCGGCUAACUUCGUG
rnacentral:rRNA from 1 species